rnacentral:rRNA from 1 species
GGCCUUCGGGUUGUAAACCGCUUUCGCCUGUGACGAAGCGUGAGUGACGGUAAUGGGUAAAGAAGCACCGGCUAACUACGUGCCAGCAGCCGCGGUGAUACGUAGGGUGCGAGCGUUGUCCGGAUUUAUUGGGCGUAAAGGGCUCGUAGGUGGUUGAUCGCGUCGGAAGUGUAAUCUUGGGGCUUAACCCUGAGCGUGCUUUCGAUACGGGUUGACUUGAGGAAGGUAGGGGAGAAUGGAAUUCCUGGUGGAGCGGUGGAAUGCNCAGAUAUCAGGAGGAACACCAGUGGCGAAGGCGGUUCUCUGGGCCUUUCCUGACGCUGAGGAGCGAAAGCGUGGGGAGCGAACAGGAUUAGAUACCCUGGUAGUCC